rnacentral:rRNA from 1 species
GACGAACGCUGGCGGCGUGCCUAAUACAUGCAAGUAGAACGCUGAAGGAGGAGCUUGCUUCUCCGGAUGAGUUGCGAACGGGUGAGUAACGCGUAGGUAACCUGCCUGGUAGCGGGGGAUAACUAUUGGAAACGAUAGCUAAUACCGCAUAAGAGUAGAUGUCGCAUGACAUUUGCUUAAAAGGUGCAACUGCACCACUACCAGAUGGACCUGCGUUGUAUUAGCUAGUUGGUGAGGUAACGGCUCACCAAGGCAACGAUACAUAGCCGACCUGAGAGGGUGAUCGGCCACACUGGGACUGAGACACGGCCCAGACUCCUACGGGAGGCAGCAGUAGGGAAUCUUCGGCAAUGGACGGAAGUCUGACCGAGCAACGCCGCGUGAGGGAAGAAGGGUUUCGGAUCGUAAAGCUCUGUUGUAAGAGAAGAACGAGUGUGAGAGUGGAAAGUUCACACUGUGACGGUAUCUUACCAGAAAGGGACGGCUAACUACGUG